AGGGGAUUCGCCUAGCUGGCCUAAGGCAUCGGACUUUGACUCCGAUAUCGUUGAUUCGAAUUCAACAUCCCCCG
rnacentral:tRNA from 1 species